ACAGAGAGUUCGAUCCCAUCAGAUUGAACGCUGGCGGGAUGCUUUACACAUGCAAGUCGAACGCAGGCAGCACGGACUUCGGUCUGGGUGGCGAGUGGCGAACGGGUGAGUAAUGGCCUGAACGCCUAGUAGCGGGGGAUAACUACGCGAAAGCGUAGCUAAUACCGCAAUGUCGUAUCUUCAGAAAGUGGGACCUUCGGGUCAGUACUUAUUAGAGUGGCCGAUAUCAGAUUAGCUAGUUGGUGGGGUACCCGGCUCACCGGGCAGCGACGAUCCGUAGCUGGUUUUAUGAGACGACCAGCCACACUGGGACUGAGACACGCCCGGUGACUCCUACGGGAGGCAGCAGCGGGGAAUUUCGGGACAAUGAACCCUGAUCCGAGCCAUCCCGCGAAGAUGAAGGCCUUGGCCGUGUACACUGGCAGGAGAAACGGCACUUGAGCCACCUCGUGCAACUGACGGUACCUGCAGAAUAAGCACCGGCUAACUACGUGCCAGCAGCCGCGGUAAUACGUAGGUGCAAGCGUUAAUCGGAAUUACUGCUGCAAGCGUGCGCAGGCGGCUCGGAAAGAAAGAUGGAAUCCCAGAGCUUAACUUUGAACCGCAUUUUAACUACCGAGCUAGAGUGUGUCAGAGGGAGGUGGAAUUCCGCGUGUAGCAGUGAAAUGCGUAGAUAUGCGGAGGAACACCGAUGGCGAAGGCAGCCUCCUGGGAUAACACUGACGCUCAUGCACUGAGCGUUGGGAGCAAACAGAGCUUGAGAUUCUGUAGUCCACGCCCUAAACGAUGUCAACUAGCUGCUGGGGCCUUCGGGCCUUGGUAGCGCAGCUAACGUGCGUGAAGCGACCGCCUGGGGAGCAUUGUCGACAAAAACUCAAAGGAAUUGACGGGGACCCCGCACAAGCGGUGGAUGAUGGGAUUAAUUCGAUGCAACGCGAAACCUUACCUACCCUUGACAUGUCUGGAAUCCCGAAGAGAUUUGGGAGUGCUCGCAAGAGAACCGGAACACAGGUGCCGCAUGGCUAUCGUCAGCUCGUGUCGUGAGAUGUUGGGUUAAGUCCCGCAACGAGCGCAACCCUUGUCAUUAGUUGCUACGAAAGGGCACCUAAUGAGACUGCCGGUGACAAACCGGAGGAAGGUGGGGAUGACGUCAAGUCCUCAUGGCCCUUAUGGGUAGGGCUUCACACGUCAUACAAUGGUCGGGACAGAGGGUCGCCAACCCGCGAGGGGGAGCCAAUCCCAGAAACCCGAUCGUAGUCCGAAUCGCAGUCUGCAACUCGACUGCGUGAAGUCGGAAUCGCUAGUAAUCGCGGAUCAGCAUGUCGCGGUGAAUACGUUCCGGCUCCACACACCGCCCGUCACACCAUGGGAGUGGGUUUUACCAGAAGUAGUUAGCCUAACCGUAAGGAGGGCGAUUACCACGGUAGGAUUCAUGACUGGGGUGAAGUCGUACUGAAGGUAA
rnacentral:rRNA from 1 species